AUGGCGACGGCGGAGGCGAGCAGCGCCAGCGGCGCGGGCGCCGCCUACGAGGAGGAGCGCCGGAAGCGGAUCCUCGACAACCUCAAGCACCUCGAGGAUUUGGGCAUAUCGAAGAUGGCCAAGAGCCUGAUCCAGGCCACGAGGCAGCAGGACAAGACUCCUCGGGCGAGCCCAAAGUCCAGGAAGAAGUUCGAGGCUACCACCGAAGUCAGGCGCUCCUCCAGGGCCAGGACCACUGUUUCCUACAAGGAUGAUUUUCCCGAACUUGAUGAUUUUGUGCGCCGCAGAAGGGUAAGUAAAAGUGUGGACAAUGGUAGGGGAUACACCGGGAGAAUUUCUUCUUAUCAACAACAACAGCGUGCUUUUAAAAGAGCUGAGAAACUUCAAGAUAGUCUAGACCCUGACAACCCGUCGUUUGUCAAGACCAUGGUUCGAUCACAUGUAUCCAGCUGCUUUUGGCUUGGUCUCCCUUCUAGUUUCUGCAAAGAUCAUCUGCCUCCCAGAGAACAUAAGAUGGUGUUGGAGGAUGAAGAAGGUGUUGAAUUUGAUGCUGUAUACAUCGGAAAUCGAACAGGUCUGAGUGGUGGAUGGAGAGGCUUCUCGAUGCACCAUGACUUGGAAGAUGGGGACUCAUUGGUCUUUGAAUUGGCUGAGCCUGACAGAUUUAAGAUUUACAUUUCUAAAGCUAUCGAAGAUGGAAAAGAGGCUGAGCCUAAUGAUAAGAAUGCUGAUGUGGACAGUGAUUCAGCCCAGGAAGUUCCUGACCAGACGGAUUCACCUGUUUCUGAACCCCCUUCCAGCCCUGAGCCUCUAAAAGGAGCUAAAAGAAGAAAACUCCGUGGGCGACGGUAG
rnacentral:rRNA from 1 species